AUAAAGCUGCGCCCUGCUCAGCAUCUGUUUUUUCAUGGUUUAAGGGUCACUAAGGAUUUGUAUAGUAAUGUUUUAGCCCCUGUAUGCAAAGGUAUAUGGCAAUUGCAUAAAAGUAAAAUCGGUAGAUUUUUUUUUAUAUUUAAAGUGAAGCAACUUAAUUUUGCUUGCAAUAACUGCAAGUUACCCUACAGCUCGUCAUAGCACCCGGUUUUGUGCCCACUGGCACUUCUCAUGAUGAGUUUACACGUAAUUCGAAUUCGAUUCGCAUUAACUAAUUCGAAUUAGUUUAAUUCGCAUUCGAAACGUUUUACGUCCUAACGUCAAUUUUAAUUCGAAUUGCAAUGCGCGUCAAAUUCGCUUUACUGUCCAAACGACGUUAGCUAAAUUAAUUCGUAUUAACAAAAAC
rnacentral:lncRNA from 1 species